CGGGAGGCAGCAGUGGGGAAUAAUAGACAAUGGGCGGGAGCCUGAUCCAGCCAUGCCGCGUGCGUGAAGAAGGUCUUCGGAUUGUAAAGCACUUUAAGUUGGGAGGAAGGCUUGUAGAUUAAUACUCUGCAUUUUUGACGACACCGACAGAAUAAGCACCGGCUAACUCUGUGCCAGCAGCCGCGGUAAU
rnacentral:rRNA from 1 species